CCUACGGGUGGCAGCAGUGAGGAAUAUUGGUCAAUGGCCGGAAGGCUGAACCAGCCAUGCCGCGUGAAGGGCAGGGUCCUAGGGGCGUUAAACUUCUUUUGUGCGGGAGAAAGAAUGGUCACGUGGGGCCAGACGAGAGUACCGUACGAAUAAGCAGCGGCUAACUCCGGGCCAGCAGCCGCGGUAAGACGGGGGAUGCAAGCGUUCUCCGGAUUUAGUGGGGGUAAAGGGUGCGUAGGCUGUGAGGUAAGGCAGCGGUGAAAUGCCCCCGCUCCACUGGGUGAAGUGCCAUUGAUACUGCCUUGCUGGACUGCGGAUGCCGUGGGCGGAAUGUGUGUUGUAGCGGU
rnacentral:rRNA from 1 species